GCGGACAUGGUUCAGCGGUAGAACUUCGGCUUCCCAAGCCGAAAACGCGGGUUCGAUCCCCGUUGUCCGCUCCA
rnacentral:tRNA from 1 species